AUGAUGCCUGGGGCUGCUCCCCUGGACUCUGCCCCAGGUCCCAGGCUCUUCUGUGGUGUUGUCCUGUGUCUCCUGGGAACAGGUGUGGUGCAUGCUGGGGUCCUCCAGUCCCCCAGACACCUGAUCAAAGCCAAGGGAGGAAAGGCCAUUCUUCAGUGCUCUCCUGACUCUGGACAUGAUACUGUGUACUGGUACCAGCAGGCCGAGGACAAGAGCCUCCAUUUCCUCAUUUCUUAUUAUCGAGAGUUAGAGAGAGAGAAAGGAAGCAUCCCUGGGCGCUUCUCAGCUCGGCAGUUCAGUGACUAUCACUCUGAGCUGAACAUGAGCGCCUUGGAGCUGAGGGACUCCGCGCUGUAUCUGUGUGCCAGCAGCUUGCACAGCCCUGCACAGGGACUGGCUUUCUCUACCCAAACCUUCCUGCCCCAGCUGAGGAUGUCACUGAGGGGGGUGUGGUAUGAAGUUGCUGCAGAAAAACCUGAGAUGCCUGUUGAGCGGUUCUCUGCACAGAGGCCCAAUGGCUCCUUCUCCACUUUGAAGAUGCAGCCUGCAGAGCAGGGAGACUCGGCCCUGUACCUGUGUGCCAGCUGUCAGACACAGUGUGCCUCAGCCCACUCCUUCCUGAGCACAAACCAUAGGGGCUCAGCCUCCUCCCACUUCCCAGAGACCCAAACUCAGGAGUUGCCUGGCCUGCUCCUCUUCGAAGGGAACAAAGGAUUUGGAACCAGAAUGGAGAUCUGA